rnacentral:rRNA from 1 species
AGCGCAACCCCUGCCCUUAGUUGCCAGCAUUUCGGAUGGGCACUCUAAGGGGACUGCCCGCGUCAAGCGGGAGGAAGGUGGGGAUGACGUCAAGUCCUCAUGGCCCUUAUGUCCAGGGCUACACACGUGCUACAAUGGACGGUACAAAGGGCUGCGAAGUCGCGAGACGGAGCCAAUCCCAAAAAGCCGUCCUCAGUUCGGAUCGGAGUCUGCAACUCGACUCCGUGAAGGUGGAAUCGCUAGUAAUCGCGGAUCAGCAUGCCGCGGUGAAUACGUUCUCGGGCCUUGUACACACCGCCCGUCACACCAUGGGAGCCAGUUGUACCGGAAGCCGGUGAUCCAACCCGCAAGGGAGGUAACCGUCCAUGGUAUGGCUGGUGACUGGGGUGAAGUCGUAACAAGGUA